rnacentral:rRNA from 1 species
UACGGGGGGAGCAAGCGUUGUCCGGAAUCAUUGGGCGUAAAGGGCGCGUAGGUGGCCCGGUCAGUCCGUGGUGAAAGCGCGGGGCUCAACCCCGCGUCGGCCAUGGAUACUGCUGGGCUGGAGCACUGUAGAGGCAGGCGGAAUUCCGGGUGUAGCGGUGGAAUGCGUAGAGAUCCGGAAGAACACCGGUGGCGAAGGCGGCCUGCUGGGCAGUUGCUGACACUGAGGCGCGACAGCGUGGGGAGCAAACAGG